AGUACUGCGAAGGAAAGAUGAAAAGAACUUUGAAAAGAGGGUUAAAAGACUUGAAACCGUUGAGAAGGAAGCUGUAGAAGAGCAAUAAACUGGACGGCGCAUAAGGGGGAAGCGUUACUCACUGCAAAGUCGAUACGAAAGGUCGAUGAGUAAGGAAAGGACGCAGAACUUGCUACGCCGGUCAGAAGACAAAAUGAGUUUUGAUUAGAGGAGUCACCUGAGAUUGGGCAGCAAUGCAAAUCAAAAGGGAAACUCUAAAUGAGACUGAGGGGCCUACGGGCGAUUUUGUCAAAAUGGC
rnacentral:rRNA from 1 species